rnacentral:rRNA from 1 species
CCUACGGGAGGCAGCAGUGGGGAAUAUUGGACAAUGGGGGAAACCCUGAUCCAGCGACGCCGCGUGAGUGAAGAAGUAUUUCGGUACGUAAAGCUCUAUCAGCAGGAAAGAAAAUGACGGUACCUGACUAAGAAGCCCCGGCUAACUACGUGCCAGCAGCCGCGGUAAUACGUAGGGGGCAAGCGUUAUCCGGAUUUACUGGGUGUAAAGGGAGCGUAGACGGCAGCGCAAGUCUGGAGUGAAAUGCCGGGGCGCAACCCCGGGACUGCUCUGGAAACUGCGAAGCGGGAGUGCAGGAGAGGUAAGCGGAAUUCCUGGUGUAGCGGUGAAAUGCGUAGAUAUCAGGAGGAACACCGGCGGCGAAGGCGGCUUACUGGACUGUAACUGACGUUGAGGCUCGAAGGCGUGGGGAGCAAACAGGAUUAGAUACCCCUGUAGUC